rnacentral:rRNA from 1 species
GUGGACGCCAGUCUGCAUGGAGCCGACCUUGAAAUACCACCCUUUAAUGUUUGAUGUUCUAACGUGGACCCGUGAUCCGGGUUGCGGACAGUGUCUGGUGGGUAGUUUGACUGGGGCGGUCUCCUCCUAAAGAGUAACGGAGGAGCACGAAGGUUGGCUAAUCCUGGUCGGACAUCAGGAGGUUAGUGCAAUGGCAUAAGCCAGCUUGACUGCGAGCGUGACGGCGCGAGCAGGUGCGAAAGCAGGUCAUAGUGAUCCGGUGGUUCUGAAUGGAAGGGCCAUCGCUCAACGGAUAAAAGGUACUCCGGGGAUAACAGGCUGAUACCGCCCAAGAGUUCAUAUCGACGGCGGUGUUUGGCACCUCGAUGUCGGCUCAUCACAUCCUGGGGCUGAAGUAGGUCCCAAGGGUAUGGCUGUUCGCCAUUUAAAGUGGUACGCGAGCUGGGUUUAGAACGUCGUGAGACAGUUCGGUCCCUAUCUGCCGUGGGCGCUGGAGAACUGAGGGGGGCUGCUCCUAGUACGAGAGGACCGGAGUGGACGCAUCACUGGUGUUCGGGUUGUCAUGCCAAUGGCACUGCCCGGUAGCUAAAUGCGGAAGAG